rnacentral:rRNA from 1 species
GACGAACGCUGGCGGCGUGCUUAACACAUGCCAGUCGAACGGAAAGGCCCUGCUUUUGUGGGGUGCUCGAGUGGCGAACGGGUGAGUAACACGUGAGUAACCUGCCCCUGACUUUGGGAUAACUUCAGGAAACUGGGGCUAAUACCGGAUAGGAGCUCCUGCUGCAUGGUGGGGGUUGGAAAGUUUCGGCGGUUGGGGAUGGACUCGCGGCUUAUCAGCUUGUUGGUGGGGUAGUGGCUUACCAAGGCUUUGACGGGUAGCCGGCCUGAGAGGAUGACCGGCCACAUUGGGACUGAGAUACGGCCCAGACUCCUACGGGAGGCAGCAGUGGGGAAUAUUGCACAAUGGGCGGAAGCCUGAUGCAGCAACGCCGCGUGCGGGAUGACGGCCUUCGGGUUGUAAACCGCUUUCGCCUGUGACGAAGCGUGAGUGACGGUAAUGGGUAAAGAAGCACCGGCUAACUACGUG